AUAACAUUUUAUAACAAUGCCAGCGUGCUCUGGUACCCGGCAAAAUGUGAUAUUUUUGAUAUUUGUCGGAUCCAGUUUCACCAACUAAUAAAGCAUUCGCUGGCAGAGUAGAAGAAUAUAACGGAACUGAGAACAGAGCAUUCAGGUGGAAUAGGGAGGCUUUUGUCUUGGAUAUUGUCUACAUCGUAAAUCCCGUUGUGCCGUUUUCCGGCUUGAAAUCAUCAUUAUAAACUUGGAGCUGUGAUUUUUGUUUUUGAGCUAUCCGUUGCCUUAAGUGGGGCGGAAUGAUGUUAGAAUGAUCUCCAGCGUUUAUUCUUUGUACCAGGAUCAAGUCAACUUUGGGGAUCCUGUUGUUCCAGGGUCUUAAUAUAGGGGUUUGUCUAGGUGUGGUGGAGGGUUUUGGCCUUUAAGGUCGUUAGAUCGCCGAUGGUGAUUCUUUUGGUCCACCGUCAUCAGGGAAGAAAUUGGACUGGUGAGGAAUGCUGAACUGAUUAUUCUUACAUCUUAGUUGUUGAAAGACUCCAGUUUAUUGAUCAGAUCUACCUUGGUGUAAUAUCGACCAAAGACCACUCAGGAAACUCCUCGACUGCCUAGAUUCUUCUUAAAUCUAUGCACACUUUCAUAUACCUAAUGCUUUUUAAGUAGAACCAAUUAAGACCAACGAAAUAUAUUAGAAAGUUAAUGUUACGACGAUACUACAUUUACUUUCUUUCUUUUUUUGUUUUUAAUUUCAUCUUGCUUGCGAAACCAUUUCUAGUACCUAAAACGGUUUCUUGUACUUAAAUAUUUCAAUACUCUAUUUUAAUAGCUCCAUUUACCUUUUUGAAUGUGAUGAGAUUUAUGACAGCUUUUUUUAAACAUAUAUCAACCACUAUUUCCCGGACGUUUUUAUCACUGUCCAUAGUUUUAUAUUAAACUGAUCUUAAAUUUACUUUAAGAUUUUUUUACAGCAUUUAAGCUACUAACACUGACCACACUGACUGGACACUUGAUUUGGCUGCUCGAAAAAUUAACGAGUAAUGUCGAUACCAGAGACGCUUCGAUAGAUGUUGUAGCCCGGCUGGAAAAUUAAACCAGACAUUUGAUAGAUAUCGAUCAGUUCAGACUACUCGAACGGACUGAACAGGUUGGGGUCCAUGCUAUAGAGUCAAAUUUUUAUGCUCGAAUUGCAGCCGCGCAAUGUCGACGGUAGGAGGCUUUAAGACAUAAUUUGAAUGAAUUUUUUUUUUCGAAGUGUCAUGUCAGUGUGAUCAGUGCUACUAAUCGAUUCCAUAAUUCUUGUCAAUGUCUUACUUCCAAGUUUUAUUUCAACUAUGCGGUCUUGAACCUCGCUCGAAAAUUAAAAUGAGCAAACUGCAAACAACUACAUAACAAUUUAUAAAAAAUAGUUUUUCACCUACUUUUCGGCAGAAUGGAAUCAGACUUCUAAUGACGCAUUUAAGCACCACAUUAAUGUGCCUACCAAAUAAUUACAUACAAUUCACAUCUAAGCGACUGGUUCAUAAUCCACCUCACUUAGUACUUGUGCCAAACCACGAGAUCUUCCGAAAUACAAGAUCUCAGACAACAACAAAAACGACAUGGUGCCAUCAAUCGUUUACUGGUGUAAUUUCUACACAGAAAUUUAAAUAUUUCUAAAAUAUUUCAUUCGUUUGGAACUACACAUCAAAGCGACGCGAAACUAUUUCACCUAGGAUCCGGCUCAUUACAUGUAAUGCUAUUUUAUUUACUAGUCAUUACACCCGAAGUUCAUCAUUGUUCACCGCAAUAACAAUGUUUUAAACUGUCCAAUAUUUUUGGGAGGCAAAUCACGUACCGGUUAUCGAUUCCCUUAGACGUUUGGAAUCUUCCUUCUUGAAACUUUUUUUCGUUUUGAAGUCUAAAUAUCACCCUCAUUCUCGUUUUCGAUCGAAUGACAUUCGUUCGAAAGUUAGGCAAUUUCGUAUUCUUGUUUUCGUUCGAACGAAUCAGAGCAGUUCGAUCUUUCGAACAUCGUUCGAACGAACAAAACUUUGCAUUCCCGUUUUCGUUCGAACGUAUUUUUUCUAUGGGCUGACAAACGCAAGUCUGACACUGCGAAUCAUGAGCGUUUGAAGGAAUUUUCGAAAUUAAAAACCGAUUAUGGGAUAGAAAAUUGGUUCAAAAUAACCAGAUAAAUGUGAGCUAAAUCCACACGAAAUCAAUUUCUUCAAAAUAACAAAAAUUUAAAUACAAAAACAAACAUAUUUUAAUAAUUAAAAAUAGAAAUUUUUAUCUCAAUCAUCUUUCUCUUUCUUCUCUGAGGGAUUUUUUCCAGUAUCAGCAGAACAACUUCGCGUGCCCGGAAUGUUUUAAUGAAUUUGGACUCCAAAUUUCUUAAUAAUUCUGCUACAGCUGACUUUGCUGUCUAUGUCGCCAGGAAUUUAGUUUUCACGUUUCAUUUCGAUUCUUUUCCAGCUAUCGACUUACAACGCAAACCUCAGGCGUAUGAAGAAAAAGUUUUUGCUAAGUAAUUCAAAAUAAUCAUUAAUUUCGAUUUACAUAAUCAAUUUAAUUCAUAAUUUUAAGCUUAUUUCUAUUUGAAACUUCAUUGUAAGCCUUCCUUAUUCCUCUCGGCGGGUGAUAUUAUAGGCAUCAGCAGCAGCUACAUCACUAACAUAACCACCAUCGGCUAUUGAGAACAGCUCCUGAACGGAUCACUAGAAAACAGCUCAAACCGCUACCGAUGAUUGCAAUACGGCCAAAUUGCGCUGCUGGAAACAACCCUCUCGAAUGCUGAUUUUCUGCCUUCAACUGCUUACGAUGUUCAUCGACCGCCCGGUGUUCGGCACACGACGCGGAAUAAAGUUUCUCAGCCAUUUCUUGCCGAUUAAUAAAUGACCACGCUUUAAAAAUAAUCUUUACGCUUUUGGCACGGACCAGAAACUGCAAUGUUUAUGAUAAGAAAUGUCAUUUCGCCGCAGCCUGCUGCUAAAAAAAUUUCGAAGUUGAUCUGGUAACACCAAAAUCGAAAGUAUCGCAUUCGAACGAAAACAAGAAUAGCCUUUUCGAAUUCGAUCGAAAGUAUCCGUUCGAACGAACGACAGAUACGCCGUAAACAAGAAUAAGGGUGUAUGUACCUCCUUGAAAUUUUUUUUUCUCCUCGUCGCCAAAAUGUAAUAUCGACUAAAGACCACUCAGGAAACUCCUCGACUGCCUAGAUUCUUUUUAAACUUACGCACACUUUCAUAUGACGUUUUUUAAAUAAAACCAAUUAAUACCAACGAUAAUACUAGAAAAAUAAUAUUUAUUACGACGAUACUACACUUGGCUCGGCUGACUAAAUGAAGUUCGUAGAGGACCGACGGAAGUAACCGACCGUGUAGAAAGCGGAAAAGCGAAUCUCGGUGGGCCAUACUUGUAUGGUUGGAAAGAAUUGGUAGGAUGUUCAUUUUGUUGGUGGCAUUUUUCUGUACGUUGUUGAAGUGCAGUUUGAAAUUUAGGCGGUUUUCUAGCCAGACUCCCAGUAGACGGGUAUAGUGUACUUGAAGGAUUCUUUGUUCAUCCUUAAGGAGCCGAUGCAGGAGGAGAUUGGACUUCUCGGAAGGAAACUGGAAACCCAUUCUAGGGGCCCAAUCAGCUACUAUGUUUGCUGCAUGCUGCGGCUUUCUUCUGACAAUCUUAGGAAAUGAAGAGAUUGAGAUGAGAAGAAUACAGUCGGCGUAGGACCUAGAUGUUUCAAAGUAUGACCUGAAAAAUUUAGUUCAUAGCCACCAGGAAUAACGUUGAGGCUAUUUGUAGGACUCCACAUAUAACAGGUCGGAUGUUCGAGCGCGUUUCGUUGAUGAGGACUUGGAUGUAUCUAUCUAUUUAUUUGUUCCCAUUUGGUAAAGGUGUUAAGAAUAGCGAUGCGAUCAACCCGAUCGAAGACCUUGGAGAGGUCGAGUGAUAGGCAUUCCACAUGACGGUGUUCGCGAAGUGAAGUGUCAAUUGUCGAGAAGCAAAGGAUUUUGCUUGGGUUUGGCUUUUGGAAUGACUAAUCCAAGCUUCCAACAUACGGGGAUUUCACUUUUGGUCCAAAUUUGGUUGAAUAUUUUUAGGAGCAUGACAUUCUGCAGUUUGAAUGGCAAAAGUAAAUAAAAAGAAGUUCGUUUUUCGUAGAAUGACUGUAUCUCAGGCAGCAUGUGUGGCUUUAGAAAGCUCAAAUUUUGUGAAAUAAUAGAGUGAUAGCUGAUCUAUCUUAAACAGUCUUCACGAAAACAUGCACCAAGUUCAACUUGGGUGCAAAAUUUAAGGCACAAGUUCACCUUGGAUUUUUAUACAAUCCAAAUCAUACACUGAAAGAAAAAUCAUGGUAUUCUGAAAUAAAUAAAAAUGUUUAAUUUUACCAUGCGCUAGUUUUGUCGAUAUAAAUAAAGUUUUGGUUAUUUUGACGAUCUUUUGGUUAAUUUUACUAUGCGAACCAGAAAAAAUAUGGUAAACUAAAACGAGAAAGAGGUUUAAUUUUACCAUGCACAAAAUUUGUCGAUAUAAAUAAAAUUUUAAUGAAUUUUACCAUGCGAAUCAGAAAAAAUGUGGUAAACCUAAAUAAAAAAAGAGGUUUAAUUUAACCAUAUGCAGCAUUUUCCGCAUUUGAAAAAUAUUUUUAAUAAUGGUUAACAAUACUCUGGUAAAUUUUACCAUGGAUGUCAAUAGCCAACAUGCUUCCGUUCUGUCAUUUAGCACUUAGUUUUUUUUCUUGCCAUAAAAUCGGUUGUUUAAAUUUUGGAAUUAAAUUGAUUAUGUGCUCUGUGUCUGAAGGUAAGUAUUUUGGUGUGGAAAAUGUAACCAAAAAUAUCACUUUUUAUAUAUCCACAGAAAAUCAUUACAAUCUGGAGCGUAAGCAGAGUCAUCAAUGAUAGAAGCUGAUUUAACAGUUUAUAAAAUGUUCAAGGCGCUCGAGACGACGAUGAUUCGAAACGGCAAAAAUAAAAUCUUAGGACAAUUACGCGGCACUGGAUGUAGGGUACCAUAUUACAGGCGCACCUUAUAGUACACAUAUAUUGAUCAGCAAGUAUGUUACCUUGUCAUAGAUAGAAGAGAAAAGAUAGAGAGUAAGAGGAGGAGGAAAGGGAAGAAGAACGGGGAGUUUUUUAGUUUGGUACGCGGACAGGAAAGACGCGAAUAAAUCGUUGUGCAAUAUAUCUAGUUACGAAAGUGGAAAUUGCAUCCGAAACCCCACGAAGUCCUUACAUCUGGCGACGAGGAUGGCGGAAAACAUGGUGAGUUCAGUGGAAAACAGAAUUAAAAGUGAAAAAUUAGACAAUUUGUGUUGGGAAAAGCCCAUCCUAAAUGUGGCACGAAAGCCAAAAUGGCGUACGUUUUGAUGGUCGAGACCAAAGGAAGAAAAGGGUGAGAGAAUUCCCGAGGGGCACCCGAUUAUACGUGACUCAAUUUCUUGCUCUCUUGGCUCUGAGGAGUGGGAGAGAAGUAUGAGUAAUUAGGUGUUUGUUUUCCUUGUAUUGAGGUACAUUGUUUGAGAAUGUUGGUGAUAUCCGAACUCUGAGGAGCGAAGGAAUGAAAGUGUUGAGCUUUGAGAAGCUAAAUGAAAUGAUGCGCAAGUGUUCUGAGGAACAAACAUUGUUUAUUAUUGAGCUUUGAGAAGCCAAAGAAGAAGAUGUUCUAGAGUUCUGAGGAACUAACAUUCGAAAACAUUGUGCUUUGAGAAGUUUUGACAAUGACGUGUGUAUUGACAUAUUAAUUAAUUGCAUUACAGAUCAGCGAGUCGCGAGCGAUUCCACCAUUUCGAUGUGAAGAAAUAGCCCGAAAUCAAUUAUCCAAAGAAUGGAAGAGUUGGAAAUCUUCACUGGAAGUAUAUUUCGAAGCGUUUGAUGUAGUUGACCAACGGAAGAUGAAAGCACUUCUUUUGCAUUUUGGUGGAAGACAGUUACAAAAAGUUUUCGGAAAUCUACCUGAUGUAGACAAAAUUCCUUUGGUUGCGACUAAGGUGAACUGGUACGAUUUGGCCAUUAGCAAGUUGGACGAUUAUUUCGAGCCUGGUAGGCAAUACAUCUUGGAACGCUGUCGACUGCGGAAGAUGAAACAGGCGAAAAACGAGAGAUUUUCACAUUUUAUGAUGCGCAUUCGUCAGCAGCUCGCCGAUUGUGGCUUGGAGAAAUUUUCCACGGAAGUAAAGGAAAUAUUGACCGAAAUAUUCCUUACAGAUGCUAUAGUCGAGGGAUGCGAAUCUGAAGAACUCAGACGUCGCAUUCUUCAAAAGGAUAGAUCGCUUGCCGAGCUGGAAGAGCUAGGUGCAAUGAUGGAGGGCGUAGAACAGCAAAUGAAGGACAUAAGCUCGUUGAAUCCAAAUGAAAGCAAUAUAGAAAAGGUUUUUAAAGUGGAAUCUAGAUUCGUAAGAAAAUCAACAACAUCAGGUCGUGCGCAGCGAAAACUGGAAAAGAAACCAUAUGAUGCACGGAAAAUGAGAUGCUUCAGUUGCGGAAUAGAUGGUCACAUUUCUUCAUCAUUGCAGUGUAAAGCUCGCGAUCAAAAGUGCAGAAAAUGUGACAAGAGGGGGCAUUUCGAGGCUGUGUGUGGAAAACGAUAUUUCAACAAGCGGGAUGUUAUUUUCAAACACCAAGAAGGAAAAAUUCGAUUGAUAACUGAAAUUAAAGACGAGUUUGAUGAUAAAGCAGAAGAAAUUGUUGCGGACGACGCUGAGAAUGUUCCAGAGAAAAAGAGCAAAACAUAAUAUUGUUUUUACUCUGGAAACGAAACAAAUCUCAUUGAAUGCGUGGUAGGCGAUGUCCCUUUGAUGUUGCUGAUUGAUUCAGGCUCUGAUGCUAAUUUGAUACCGUUAAAAGUCUGGGAGGAAAUGAAGCAGGCGCAAGUAAACGUGGCGAACAUGAUCAAAGGAGGACAACAGACUUUGAGAGGAUAUGGGAACACGAAGCCUCUUCAAAUAGUUGGGACGUUUCAGGCUAACAUAACUUGUGGAAAUCAAACGGUCUCAGCUAAAUUUUUUGUUGUUGGUGAAGGACAAUGUUGUUUGUUGGGCGACACAACGGCCAAAGCUCUGGGAGUUUUGAGAGUCGGAUUAAACAUAAACCAGGUCGAGGAUAAGUUUUUACCGUUUGGCAAAAUUCGUGACAUGCAGGUUCAAAUUCAUAUGAAUCCUGAAUACAAACCGGUCUUUCAACCUGUACGUAGAGUGCCGAUACCAUAUGAGUCUGCUGUAAAUGAGAAGAUUGAGCAGUUAUUGGCUCGAGAUAUCAUUGAGGUAGGAGGUUUAUGUUUUCUUCGAAAGGAUUUCCAAUAACAGUUUCCAGGCAGGAUGUCAUAAGAUUGAUUUAUCUUGAAAGCAAAUAAAUGAAUAAUAAAAGUAGUAAAAUUGUUUAAUGUUUUAAUGCAAUUUAUUUCGUAGAUUAAAACUGGACCAACAUCUUGGGUUUCGCCACUAGUUGUGGUGGGAAAAGCGAAUGGUGAGCCAAGGAUUUGCCUCGAUUUGCGUAGGGUAAAUGAGGCUGUGCUUCGUGAACGAUAUCCUAUGCCAAUUGUGGAAGAACUAUUAGCUAGAAUUGGUAAAGGAGCAAUCCGUAGUAAGCUAGACAUUAAAGAUGCUUUCCUGCAAACUGAGUUGGCCCCAGAAUCUCGAGACGUCACGACGUUCAUAACACACAAAGGACUGUUUCGGUUUAAAAGGCUGCCGAUGGGUCUGGUGUCCUCCCCCGAAAUUUUCCAAAAAGUUAUGGAAGAGAUUCUCUCUGGCUGCGAAGGAACGUUCUGCUACAUAGACGACAUAUACAUUGAAGGGUCAACUCGUGCAGAACAUGAUAAACGACUUCAAGUCGUCAUGUCGCGCCUGAAAGAUCGAGGAGUAGUUCUCAACCAUGAAAAAUGCCAAAUCGGCGUAGCCGAGAUUGAGUUUUUGGGACACGUCAUUACAGCCCAGGGUAUUAAACCUUCUGUUAGUAAAGUGGAUGCCAUCAAAUCUUUCCGCCGGCCAGAGAACGUUUCGGAAUUGAAAAGCUUUCUUGGCCUGGCAAAUUAUUUGAACAAAUUCAUUCCAAAUCUUGCCAAAAUUGAUGAACCCCUUCGUCAUCUCUUGUUGUCGUCCAGUAAAUUUGAAUGGAAGGAACCGCAGCAAACUGCAUUUGAUGCUAUCAAAGUUGCCCUGGCAGUUGACACGAUUUUGGGACACUUUAAUGUUGAUGAUCAAACGUCAGUCAUAUCGGAUGCUAGCCCAUCGGCCCUUGGAGCUAUUCUUUUUCAAACGGACACAACCGGAGAGUCUCGAGUAAUAAGCUUCGCUUCUAAAUCACUAACGACCACUGAGAAGAAGUAUUGCCAAACGGAAAAGGAAGCGCUGUCGUUAGUAUGGUCGGUCGAAAGAUUUCAAAUGUAUUUGUUGGGCUCGAAAUUCGAUCUUAUCACUGACUGUAAAGCUUUGGUUUAUCUUUUCACUCCACGGUCUAGACCCUGCGCUAGAAUAGAGCGUUGGGUUCUCCGACUACAGGCUUUUGAGUACACAGUUAAGCACUGGCCUGGUGAGAAAAACAUAGCUGAUGUAUUAUCUCGACUCUCAACACUGAAAGCAGAACCGUUUGAUAUGUCUGAGGAACUGUUUGUAAACGAAAUAGCUCUUGCUGCAGCAUCGACUGCUGCGAUCCGUUGGGAAGAAAUUCAAAGGGUUUCUAAGGCAGACAAUGAAAUUCAAACGGUUAUUCAAUGUCUACGCAACAACCGUCUCCAUGAUUUGCCGGUGGUUUAUCGCAUUGUCGGAAGAGAAUUGUGCGCGAUUGAACAUGUAGUUCUGCGGGGUGACCGUAUAGUAGUCCCAGGUAAUCUGAGGGAGCAAGUAUUAUCUUUAGCUCAUGAAGGUCAUCUCGGUUCACGAUUGAUGAAAAGCCAUCUUCGCACAUCAGUAUGGUGGCCAAAAAUGGACCAAGACGUGGAGACGUUUGUGAAGCGAUGUUAUGGCUGUACGUUAGUAUCUGCUCCAGAAGCUCCAGAGCCUAUGGCGCGUCGAGAGAUGCCGAACGGACCGUGGGAAGACGUAGCCAUCGAUUUUCUGGGUCCGCUUCCAGAAGGACAAUUUCUGCUAGUAGUGAUUGACUAUUACAGCAGAUAUUUUGAGAUCUGUGAAAUGGAUUCUAUAACGGCGGAGUGCACAAUAUUUCAACUGAUGCAGAUUUUUAGUAGAUUUGGAAUACCACUCACGUUGACCGCUGACAACGCACCACAAUUGAGCGAAGAUUGUGAGGCGUUUUCAAAGUUUUGUAAAGAUCAAGGCAUUAAGCUACUUAAUACCAUUUCAUAUUGGCCCCAAAUGAAUGGCGAAGUGGAACGCCAAAACAGGACCAUAUUGAAACGACUCAAAAUUGCGCAGGAGCUGGGCCAAGACUGGAAGAUGGAACUGCAGAAAUUCUUGUUGGCAUACCGUAGUACUCCACACUCGACAACAGGGCGGUCACCUGCUGAAUUGUUAUUUGGGAGGAAAAUAAGAUCUAAAAUUCCACAAUUGAUGCCAACAUAUGUAGGUGACGAAGAAACCAAAGAACGUGAUCAAAUACAAAAAGAGUUAGGUCGUGAAUAUGCAGAUAAGAAAAGAAGAGCUACUCCGAGUUCAAUUGUUGUAGGGGACAAGGUAUUGAUUAAAAGGCAAAAGAAAGAUAAUAAACUAAGUGGUGAUUUUGUAAACGAAGAAUACAUAGUACAGGAAAAACAUGGAGGGGAUGUUAUAGUUAAAUCGUCAGUUUCUGAUAGGAUAUAUCGUAGGAACGUUGCUCACUUGAAAAAACUAUGGACUCCUCAAGAAAAUGAAAAGUUAAGUAUCUCUUCUGAAGAUAGGACAACAGAAACUACUAAUGAGAACUCGAAAAACGAUGAAACGGGCACUCAUAGAGUAGGUGAGAAACGUAUUCGUAAAGAACCUAAAUGGCUUGAAAAUUAUAUACCCCAUUAGUCAAAGAUUUGUCAAGGGGGAUGUAGGGUACCAUAUUACAGGCGCACCUUAUAGUACACAUAUAUUGAUCAGCAAGUAUGUUACCUUGUCAUAGAUAGAAGAGAAAAGAUAGAGAGUAAGAGGAGGAGGAAAGGGAAGAAGAACGGGGAGUUUUUUAGUUUGGUACGCGGACAGGAAAGACGCGAAUAAAUCGUUGUGCAAUAUAUCUAGUUACGAAAGUGGAAAUUGCAUCCGAAACCCCACGAAGUCCUUACACUGGAGGCCAAAUUAGGUUUUUGGCGUAUAUAUGUUUCCUGAUCUUUUACGCCGAAUAAUAAAAGAAGAGCAUAAUCACAAUGAUGGAUUAAUAAAACAGCAUUUCAAAAAUGUGAAUUGUUUCAUUAAAUGCAUGGAUUACUACUAAAUUUACAAUAUUUUGUAAUAAUUACCAUGGCAUGGUGAAAUUGAACGUCAUUAAGCCGUAACGCGCCAUAACGUAAACACAUGGUAAUUUUAAACAAACUAAUGUUUAAGAUAAACAAAUACGUACUCGAAAAAAAUCCAUCUGUUUUUAUUUUUAAAUUCACCCUUGGAUAUGGUAACGUUCACUAUGAUUUUUCUUUCGGUGUAGGUUUUUCAAAAACAGCAACCCGAGCGUACAAGUUGUACCCGAUGUUCGUACUCAGGUUCGAACAUUAAUGUUUGUACACAUAGUCACGUCACACUAGGCAACGGUUGCGAUAUUUUGGGUGCUUCAACCUGGGGGAGGAAGACUGAAAUUCGCUGUAUCGUUUUCAGGUUUUCUGUAUCGUUUUUUUUUCUGUUCGACAAAAACCAGCAAUUGUAUAGAAAAGAUUUGUAAUCGAUCAAGUUUUAACUUUAGAUGAUCAAUUUUGUGUAGCGAGUCAUGUAACUCAGUUGUUUAGGUGCUAGUCUUCUGAGUUAAUUGCUGCAGAUUCAAAAGUAAACAUCGAAGUCGAAUCCAACAGCUAGAUAGUCUGUCAACUCUGUCGUAAAUAUCAACUUUGAACUAUAUAAAAAUGUUGUUCGGUCCAAGGGAACUACCCAAAAUCUAAAUCUGUUAUUUAAGCUAUUUUCAAGAUCAACCAUUGAUCAAGCAAUUUUUAUUUAUCACCUUCGAAAACUUCAACGAAAUUUGAGCCACUUAAUAUGCCUGAACAUGCAAGAAUUUGCCAGAGUGAAACAAAACCUAAUUAAAUGAUUGUUUAAUGCAAAACAAGUGCUUUUCAGCAUCAAAACAGUUUUAUUGAAAAUCGCUAAAUAAGAAAGUAAAAUUGUCUACCUUCGCACUGCUCGGUAGAUUGAUGAAAGAAAUUUGACGUUUGAAAGAUUUUUUUCUUUUUUUAUUCAGUUUUCCUCCCCCAGGCUUCAACGAGUUUUGUCGUGCCUACGUGACACCUGAGACUGUCACAACGUCUCGCGAAAAGAAAUAAUAAUGUGACUACGCCUAAGUAGCCAAACAUAAAAGGGACAUCAUCAAUACUCAGUCUCCGAGCACCGGGAGUAAACUUUCAUAGAGAUAAAAGGUUCGUUUUAAUUCGUUGAUACCACACUUAGGGAUCCUGGAAAGUUGUCCUUAGUAAUUGUGUUGACCACACAAGUGAAACAUGGCAACGUGUAGCCGAUAAUGGAUCUUACAAACAGAACCUCCUACAUCAAGCUAUACAUUUCUAUAGAAUCUCUAUAGAAUAUCUUAUAAGAAUCUCUUGUGAUCAGCGGCACAAAACACUGGAAACCAGAAUGCAUAUGGGCGGAUAUCAAAUGAAAUUGAGCAGAGAGGAUUUCAAGAAGAUACUGAUUGUGGCUAGCCGUUGUUUUUCCGAAUCGAUCAUUACGAGAUGAGUCAUAUCGUCAAAGUUUAAGAUCUUGAUUGGACAAGAGACUAUCUUAAGGAAUCGUUUUCAAAAAUGAAUUAACAAAUAAAACAGUGAGGAACUCAUUAAUUUCAUUUAAUUUCGAAGGCUUAAUUUAAAGGUCAUAGCUUAAGAAUUAAAUUUAUUGAUGAAGUUUUUGUUAUGCAUAGAUUCAGAUGCAUUGCUUGCCGACAACUGAAUAAACACGCUCCGCAUCCUGGGUCACAGCUAUGCCAGAAUGUCCACAGUUGAUCGCUCCUCGUGCCGAAUAUCCGUUUCAAAAGAAAUUGGAGAAAACUUGGCCACUAGACAGUUGAGGGUAGGUAUUUGGCUUACUCGAAAAAAUCGAACAAAUUAAUUUAAUCGAACAAUAUCAUCAGAGUGAAAAGUUAUUAAAGUUCAAAGUCGAAGUGCACGCGUUUCACAUUUGUAUACAUUUAUGAACGGUACUGUAUAUGGUCGGUUUUAGGAUUUUUUUUUUGUUAAUGUGAUCGUCACCUAGAGUUUUUUUCGAAUUUCUCUAUGUGUUGGACGUGGGAUACUUGUUUAUUUUGUAGAGGAACAAAAUAAAACAAUCAGAAUUCCUUCAAUCGUGGCUCCAGAGAGUACUGUUUUAAUUACGAUUGUUUUCUCUCUCUCUCUCUUUCUCUCUCUCUCUCUUUCUCUCUCUCUUUCUCUU